rnacentral:rRNA from 1 species
AUGCUUAACACAUGCAAGUCGAACGGUAACAUUGGAGCUUGCUCCAGAUGACGAGUGGCGGACGGGUGAGUAACGCGUAGGAAUCUGCCUAGUAGUGGGGGACAACAUGUGGAAACGCAUGCUAAUACCGCAUACGCCCUACGGGGGAAAGCGGGGGAUCUUCGGACCUCGCGCUAUUAGAUGAGCCUGCGUUAGAUUAGCUUGUUGGUGGGGUAAUGGCCUACCAAGGCGACGAUCUAUAGCUGGUCUGAGAGGACGAUCAGCCACACUGGGACUGAGACACGGCCCAGACUCCUACGGGAGGCAGCAGUGGGGAAUAUUGGACAAUGGGCGAAAGCCUGAUCCAGCAAUGCCGCGUGUGUGAAGAAGGCCUGCGGGUUGUAAAGCACUUUCAGUCGGGAGGAAGAGAGGGUCGUUAAUAGCGACCCAGGAUGACGUUACCGACAGAAGAAGCACCGGCUAACUCCGUGCCAGCAGCCGCGGUAAUACGGAGGGUGCGAGCGUUAAUCGGAAUUACUGGGCGUAAAGGGCGCGUAGGCGGCGUGAUCAGUCAGAUGUGAAAGCCCCGGGCUUAACCUGGGAAUUGCAUUUGAUACUGUCAUGCUCGAGUUUGGUAGAGGGGAGUGGAAUUUCCGGUGUAGCGGUGAAAUGCGUAGAGAUCGGAAGGAACACCAGUGG